rnacentral:rRNA from 1 species
AUUGAACGCUGGCGGCAUGCCUUACACAUGCAAGUCGAACGGUAACGGGCCUUCGGGUGCCGACGAGUGGCGAACGGGUGAGGAAUACAACGGAACGUGCCCGCUCGCUGGGGAUAACGAAGCAAAAGCUUUACUCAUACCUCAUACGAGCUACGGAUGAAAACAGGGUGGCGCAAAGGCUUGCGCGGGCCUAGCGGUCGAUGGUAGAUUAGUUAGUUGGUGGGUUAAAAGCUUACCAAGCCGACGAUCUAUAGCUGAUCUGAGAGGAUGAUCAGCCACACUGGGACUGAGACACGGCCCAGACUCCUACGGGAGGCAGCAGUGGGGAAUUUUGGACAAUGGGCGAAAGCCUGACCGAGCCAUGCCGCGUGCAGGAUGAAGGCCUUCGGGUUGUAAACUGCUUUUGUACGGAACGAAAAGCCUUCUUUUAAUACAGGAGGGUCAUGACGGUACCUUAACAAUAAGCACCGGCUAACUACGUG